UACGUAGGGUGCAAGCGUUGUCCGGAAUUAUUGGGCGUAAAGAGCUCGUAGGCGGUUUGUCGCGUCUGCUGUGAAAACUCGGGGCUUAACUCCGGGCCUGCAGUGGGUACGGGCAGACUAGAGUGCGGUAGGGGAGACUGGAAUUCCUGGUGUAGCGGUGAAAUUCGUAGAUAUCGGGAGGAACACCGGUGGCGAAGGCGGCGCUCUGGACCGAGACUGACGCUGAGGCGCGAAAGCGUGGGGAGCAAACAGG
rnacentral:rRNA from 1 species